UUGAAUUUUCUGGAAACUGGAACACUGGGUAACUGAUUUAUCAUGAUAAAGCCAAAAAUAAGUGCUUUCACAGCUAAAGAGGUUGUGUGAUGUGUCAGAAUCAAGGAGACUAUGACAGAGAUUUCACAGACCUGCCCCCGUCACCACUCGCUGAUCGCCAUGGGACUUUUGUUGGUUUGUUUUUAUUUUUCUUGGAAGACACCUGUGCGUGAUUUUUUUUAAUGUGUGGAGGUCGGUGCACGGCCGGUCAACACACACAGUCUUCACAGAGUGAGGUUCCAGCAGUGGUGUGGUUAACACAACGAGAGUGGCUUCUCAGUCUGUUGCAGCCUUCUUCCGCCUUCACAGCCAUUGUAACAUGUACCAUGUUAUCCUCCGCCUGCUCUGCCGUUGAAGUCUUUGGGUCUUCAGAUUGUGCUUGGUCUGGAACCUCCCCUGCGGCCACUUCUGGGAGUGCAUGACUCCAGUGGUUGCGCCCGCAGGUUCAUUGGAACACGCAAGCCCCUCACCACGACAAGGUGACAAUCCAUCGAGGGGGGAAAGAUGAAGAGAGGCAAGGCAGAAUCAGAUUAGGGAGAAAAUUUCCAUUUUUCUUAUUAUUCAGGUAACAGCUUUGAAUUAGUAGGUGUAUAACAUAACACCUCCCUUUUUUUCUUUGAUAUAAUUGAUGCUGGCAGUUUGCACCUUAGUCCAAUUAAAAGAGAGAGAGAAUUAUCUCUGAUGAAAAAGCUCUCUUAAUUUAAUGUUAUUUGGUUCUGUUUUAUUAGCUGGUUGACAGCCAGGUUAAUUCACCUUACUUGAAAAUUGUAAUUUUCCUCUUUAAGUAUGGGAUUGAAGCCAAAUUAAAUCACACUUGAUGCAGCCCUUUUGAAAAAAGGGGAAUUAAAAUAGUAAUGCACAGGAGUAUCAUGGAUUCCAUUGAUCUUAUCCUUAAUAAUGACUAAGGCCCCAUCUACACUGCCAUAGAAAAUCCAGAUUAUCUGUUUUGAACUGGAUUAUAUGGCAGUAUAGACUCAUAUAAUCCAGUUUAAAGCAAAUAAUGUGGAUUAUCUGCUUUGAUAGUCUGGAUUAUAUGACAGUGUAGAAGGGGCCUCAGUCCACUACACCACCCAAAAGGGGAGUUGGAAGGGAACAGGAAAUGACAAUCACUGCUUCUACACAAGCUUCUACACAUAAUAUCUGUUCAGUGAUUCACUGUAUCUUUUGACUAGGGUGAUAUUUUUGUUUGCUUUGAUUUUUUUUUGAAAAGCUAUCAUUUAAAGGAAAUUCAUUUGUGGUAGGCUCAAAAAUUAAAGAUGCACUAAGUUUCACAUACAGUGGGAGUAUGUGCUCUUCAUCGUUGUCUUUAAUGCUUCGUCAUCAGCGAUGUACUCAAAGGACUUUGCUUGUCAAAACAUGUGAAGGAGAUUUGUGAGAGUAUUAAAAAUCCUUCCAGUGUUUAUAGUUCACUUCAGGGUGCUCCCAGAAGAGGCCGUUAUUGUGUAACUGGAAUUAUGUAAUUAUAUUCAUGGAAUUUUA